rnacentral:rRNA from 1 species
ACGAACGCUGGCGGCGUGCUUAAUACAUGCAAGUCGAACGGAAAGGCCCUGCUUUUGUGGGGUGCUCGAGUGGCGAACGGGUGAGUAACACGUGAGUAACCUGCCCUUGACUUUGGGAUAACUUCAGGAAACUGGGGCUAAUACCGGAUAGGAGCUCCUGCUGCAUGGUGGGGGUUGGAAAGUUUCGGCGGUUGGGGAUGGACUCGCGGCUUAUCAGCUUGUUGGUGGGGUAGUGGCUUACCAAGGCUUUGACGGGUAGCCGGCCUGAGAGGGUGACCGGCCACAUUGGGACUGAGAUACGGCCCAGACUCCUACGGGAGGCAGCAGUGGGGAAUAUUGCACAAUGGGCGGAAGCCUGAUGCAGCAACGCCGCGUGCGGGAUGACGGCCUUCGGGUUGUAAACCGCUUUCGCCUGUGACGAAGCGUGAGUGACGGUAAUGGGUAAAGAAGCACCGGCUAACUACGUG